AGAGUUUUAUGUAGUCUCCAUCAUUGUAGCAAGGCGUUUCCUGUUUUAUGCCUCGAUCAUCUCUGCUACCAUAAUCCAAUGUUCCGCCACAGAUAUGACGACUACUCGGCUCGUCAUGUAAAACGAUAUAUGGCUGCUUCAAUCUUGCCUCCUCCGUCAUAGCUGCUCAGGCACGUCGGAGCAUCUAUAAUUAGCUCUGGCCUCUGAUUUUUCUUUGGGAAGAGCUUAAGUUUGACUUAUGUUUACAGAGAAGGAGGAAAAUAUUUGGCCUGGCGCUUACCCCUCCGUAUGAAGUAAUUAAGGCUUGUGAUGCUACGUGUCUACCUCCUGUAAGUUGAUCAUUGGCUUGUUGCUUAGUUCGUGUUGCGUUCAGUAGCAGUACAUUACAAUGAUCCAAUUUCCUACGGAAGGAUCUAUAUAUGUACCGUGGUUGGUUUACUUCAGAUUGCAUUACGUCCGCUGUCUACUUCGUCGCCAACACGCAGGCGCAAGCCAUGUUCGUGCAGCAGGGCACCAAGAUGAUCCCGGCCGCGUCGCUUACCUCCGUUGAGACAGGGCUUGUCGUGGCCGUCGUCGCGCCAGCCUCGCCGUUCACACCGCUGCAGCUCAUGGGGCUCGGCCACGCCAUGGCGGCGGUGGCGGGCCGGCGCCGCGCCCCGCAGUCUGCGGAUGGACGGGGAAGGGGAUUCUACAACCAUGGCCCAUGGGCAUCGCUUGGGCGCGUGGCUGGUGCCGCAGUAUGUCGAGAGGGCGUUCUCGGACGCGUCUCGCUCUCGUGGCUGUGGUUCAGCUGCAGUUUUUGUCUUACGACCAGUCGCCGGAGACGAUGAACGGCACGUCAAAACAGCUCAACGGCGUUCUAAUUCCUGUCACUCUCGCUCGGGAACGUGAUUAACUCGCAGCUAGUGACGCUGGUCGCUUCCGUCGCCGUGGCAAGGGGGGAGGACGGGCUGGAUCACCGGGAUUGGAUGAGAUUGAUUAUACCGAAUUGGUUUGGUUAUACAGUACCAAUUGUUCUUUGUUAUUCCGAAUUGGUUUACAUAUCGAGAUUGAUUUUGUAUGCAAUAUCGAGAUUGGUUUAUGUCGUGACAAAUCCGGAUUCUAUGGGUUUGAUUUAUAUAACUUUGAAACAAUCCACACCGUAAAAUUUCUGCUACUUUAAUUAGAUAUUAGAAGAUUAUAUGACAUAAAUUCAUAUCCAUUAUAUUCCUAGUCAAGGAUAUUUGCUUAUGCAACGCUUGAGUUUUCCAUAAUAAAAACAGCGAUUCGUGGCAAUUCUGUGAUCUGCGGCAAUCUUUUCGGCCAUGCAAGUAAUCGGGCCGUAGAUAUGUUUUCGCGGUUGGAUCGAUCGUGGCCAGAUUCUAUCCUAUUCGGACGUCAGUUUUGGAUGGAAACAACGAAAUACUCCCGCCAUGUCUUCUCCAAAUUUGAAACCAAAAUUUUCGCCUACAAAUCCGGCUCCUCCUUGCUCUCUUCCGCACUCAUUCCUUUCCUGCUUCUUCCAAGUUUCCAAGUUUGCGCAAUGGUUCUUCCAUUCGACUUAAACAUUCCACCAGAUGAGCAAGAUGAAGCCCCCUUCCAUGAUGAGGUACGAGGGCACUCCAGCCAUGAAGAUGGAGCCGCUGGACAAAGCUUAUUGCAACGUCGUCAUCUCGGUUUAGCCGGCCGCGGGCACGCCAUGAUCAGUGCAGCCGGCAUCACCAAUAUGCCGCUGGAUCAACUCCGGCAUCUCGGACGUGGACGGGUCACGAGUCGCAACACUGUGCACGGUGGCGGGCGCGGCGACGGUUCUUCGGCGUCGGCGGGACGCGGCCAAGCUGAUUCGGCAUCGCCUGGACGCGGCCGAGGGGCUGCGCCGUCUGCUGGACGCGGACGAGGGGCUCCGCCAUCGCCUGGACGCGGACGAGGAGCUCCGCCGUCGGCAGGACGUGGCUACGGAUCUUCGCCUUCGACUGAUGACGGCUCAGGACACAUCGGGCAUGGUUUGUCGUCUUCAGAUGGAGAAGACGACACCGGCAACAUGAACGGUAGUAUCGAUCUAAGAGGAGGUGCGUGCAGAAGGAGGAGGCAGGGAGGCCGCGCGCAUGAAGAAUAGGCGAGGGGCCGCGCAUGCGUGAGUUAGUUAAUUAAUCUCCUGGCUUUUCUGUUCCCGUGGGGAGUAACUGCUUGCUUCGUACGAUGAGUUUUGCUGGCUUGGUACUCGUGUGAAGGAAAAUCAUCCCCGUAUACUGGAAAUUGGGAAAAAGAGAGAACGCCUGGUAAACUGAAAUGGAGGGAGUAGCUUGUUUGGAUCAACUUACCCCAAGAAUUAUGCAGCCACAAACAAUAAUAGUUUUCAAUGCAUGAAAAGUUGACUUGGUGAUUUCCUCUCUUAAUGAAAUAAUAGAUAGGGUCUCAAAAGAAACAAAAGUGUAAGACAGGCUGUCAAAGAGUUCAUUUCACCGUAUCGCAAACAUGUAAAAUACAUUUUUUCCGGCAGUAAAAUACAUCUCUAGUUCUAAUCUUUAUGACACGGAGGGAGUAGUUGCGAUUGGUCCGGGUCAAGGUCUUCUGUUCACAUUAAAGCUGCCUUUAGGCUCCGCUUAUUUCCUUGUUUUCACAUUAGAGUAGCCUAUAUAUAGCAGCCAGCGGUAGCUCUUGCUCCGUUUGUGUUUUUGUUUUUCUGAAUUCUGAACAUGCAUGAAGCAGCUUUUGCUGCCACGGCAAGGCACGAUUCAUAUCCGAGAGAGCGAGAGAGUAGUGUGCCCACGGGCUUUUGAUCAACGGGAGGGCGAGGCCCGCCACCACUAAUUACGGCAUUGUUCGCCCCCCGCGCGUUUUCCCUUGUUCUUCUCGAUAAGGAAAAAAAUUAGUCUACAAAGCAGGUUCUCUGCUCGAUCCGAGCUACAAUGAACUCAGACCGCGGAUAUGUCGUCGUCCUCUUCGCCACCUGCCCCGUGCAGCGAGCCGUACAACCAAAGCACCACCCCCCGAGGAAUCGGAGGAUGGGAGGCCGCCUGCCUCGUCCUCAUCGUCCUAUGCUUUUGUAGCAUUUGCUUCUUGGUCUUCGUAUGGAGGCUGUGGAGGCCG